CAUUGCUAUCAGCAAGGUCGCUGCAAAUUUCGAAUUUCUAUCAUCUUUCAACACUUUUGGGACGGAUUGCUCUGGAUUAGGUCAACGAGCGGCAACAAUUCGAAAGCUGGACAUCAAAGGAAGCACCGAAGAUCGGUACCGAAUGCGUUUCAUACGCCAGAGCCGUCCCGAACGUGUCGACGAGUUUCCAGUGAAUUCCUUGCAACGAAAGCGUGGCGAUCUGCCCGAGAGCGAGGUGUCGCGAAGCCGCGAUAUUUCCCGCGACAAUAGAUCCGUGAAUCAGCGCGACGUGCCUCGAAUAUGGGUCUCGGAUAUUUCCUUUUACGGCGGAAGAACGCGCGCCGCUCCACCGUAAAGGCGCGAGAAUCAACGCGCGGCGGCCCGGUAAACUGACAUUCGUUACAUAAGCGCUACUCCCAUUAUCAGCGGCGACUUACGCCGCGGAGGCGGUCUGAUCGUAAUAGUUGUAUAAUAACGAGCGUUAUUACGUAAACAAAUGGAAUCCUGUUUUACAUUAGGCAGCGUCGAUUACGCGCGAGAUCGACGAUCGUCCCGACGACCAGGUCCGGAGCAUCGUUAAUUCGCACGGCGAAUCGAAGCUACCCCGUCAGCGAGAAUCGUUUAUUCGAUUAUUUGCAGAGUCGCUCGCGUUUACAGCCGCGAGAAACCUACGUCCUUAAUGGCGACGCGAACCAGGGACCAGAAUAGCGCGACAUUGACCCGGCUUCAGGGUCUGCGCGCUUUUGGAUACGAUUCAAAAUCCCGAUUCCGCGGUAACGUAAAUAACGAAGCUGGCAGCGCUCCGCGUUUGUUUUCCCGAGUUUUGAUCUUUCGAGAUCGAACGAAAGGGUGAAGAACGACACGUGCCGUCGGACGGAGACGCGGUGUCGUUCAAUGGAGCGAAACGAGCGAAACAAAAACGAAACGAAGCGGUGCUGACUAACGAAUGACACAUGCGAUCAAAGAGGAUCCGACUUGUCUUUUUUCCAUGGAUCCUCCGAACUUGGGCUGUUCGUGUGUCGCACUUACUCGGCUCGGCGAACGUGAAUCUGACUCUUUGCGGCGUUCUCUUCGGCGGCGGAGGGUACUCGGGGCAAACGGUGCGUUGUUCGCACAGGUAGCACUUUCUCUCGUAGAAGUACGAGGUGAUCGGUCUUCUGCUCAUCGUGCCGAGCGGAUGUCGUCCUAGCCGAAGCGAUAAAAGAUCGAGAGGCUGCCCUGCACGCGGUGCACGAGCGACUGAUACCGCGCGAUCGGCGGUAUUGCAGAGGUAAUAAUGCAAAAAUGUAAAUCGAUGCGUGCACGUGGGAGAAGAUCAGCCUUGAGGGACAAGUACGCGAAUCUUGACGCGAUUACCCGAACGGGUUGCUUGCCAAAAAGGUUAAUUAUACGGCGCCGUUUCCGCUCCCGAGUCACCGGGCGAUUAAGACGAAAGAUAUUUGGCCGCUUUCUGAUCGGCGUGUAAUCGCAAUGUGCCGAGACUUUUUCUUUUCAGACACGCCGCGGGUCGCGGUUAUGUCUCUUUUUAGGCAGCUUGAUACCCGCUACAGCGGCGAGGAACGCGAUAAACAAGGCACUUCGUUUGCGGUGCGCCGCGCGUAGGCGUAAAUUGCGAUUGAUUCGCUUCUUUGGCAAAUUGAAAUGGAUCGUAACACGUGCGUCAUGAGUUACGGCUGUCGGUCGUUAUAAUUCGCUCGAGCGAGCCCGCGCGAGGGGGGAUCUGCAAGGGGGGUAGACCGCGUUUAUGCCGCGAUAAAUCUCUAGAUCUCGGGCGGGAAAAGAGACGAAAUUACGGAGCGGCGAAGCCGAAUAGAAAGCCGGCCGAACUCGUUCUCCUCGGGUUGGAUUUACGUGUGGGUCGAGUUCCGCCGAUUCUCACGAUCCGCUAGCUGUGAAAAACGCCGCAGUCGCUUUAACGGUGCCCUCAGGUUUUCCUAGCCGAGACUAUAGCCUCUCCUCGGGUUGCUAUCCAACCCUAAAAGAUGAAAGUUUCAUUAGGUACGCGGCUGUUUCGAACGGGAAACUAGCUACUUUUGACAGCGAGCAGCCCGAUCGCGACGCGCGGCAACGUUAAUUCGGUCCUCUAAGCCGAAGAAUUCGGUUCCGCGUGAUUCGUUAGCGGUGGCAUUUCUGCAACAGAAUGUUUGUUGUCGUUGCGCGUGCGACCGCGUGGGCGGCCGCCUCGAGCAGUCCCGUGUCCUCUCGAGGCGCCUUCAGCUGCCUUUGCGGGACAGCAUCGUGGAAUGUUAAACUUGACCUACAGAUCGAGUCGCAUGCAAAUAAAAGUAGGCGAUCGUGGAGGGACUGCUUCCGUUCGGCUGCUUCGCCGAGCUCAGAGACGUUUGCUCGCCGAGCCGUAACAAGAUCGGCGCUCGUGUUCGCGGUUUCCGCGGGAUAUCGUUGCGGGUUUGCGGGUUUCCCGCAAAACCAAAGAAAAUCGGAGAGAUACAUGGAAAGUCAUUGAAAUCUCGGGGAAAGAUUCACGGGGGAAUCGUGUGGUCGAGAUUUAUUUCGCAUUUUCGUUGCUCGCGAAAGCGUGACACGGUCAAAAUCACUGCUCCACGAACAAGGGACUGUCCCUCAUGUCGGCGUACAUCUCCCGCAGCUUUCCAGGCGUGCAGUAGACGGGUGCAUCCUCCUCGCAGAACUGCAGGAACUCCAGCAGGUUAUCCUCCAGCUCCUGGUGGUACACCGAGCCGGCGAACUUUGCAACGAUCCGAGCACGAUCCUUCUCCGACAUCUGGAUAUUGCGAUCGAUCCUGAAGUUGGAUCAUCUGGUAGACCUCGAAGUCCUGAAACGGUACUCGAACCUUUGCGUUAUCGACGCAAGGGUUGACCUAUCGGAUGCUAGAAUACCUUUCGGGCGAAACAAGUGAUCGAUUCCACGGUGUCGUAGCGACUUAGUCGCAGACGGAAGUAGCCGAUCUCGGAGUCGCAGCUGCCAGUGACCAUUUCGAUGCCCUGAACGCAAUCGUGCACGUGACGAAGAAAUCACGGAAGGCCGCCCGAUCGAGAAAACUCACGGAAGUGUCGUGCAGAUGAGAAGCUUUGUUCUUCACCAUCUUGCCAGAAUCUGUGCUGCCAGGACUCCGCGUAAAACUUGCGGCUGUACUUGGUGCUGGUCCCGGCGGCGAAUACGAACGGGUCGUUGGUCCGGAACUCGGGGUCUAUCACCAGCUGGCCGUCGAACAUCAAUCCAGCCCUGCAGAACGCUGGAACGCGUCGACGGAAACGCGGUCGCGUUUAAUAAUUAAAUCACCGGCGGACAGGCGGGUAUACGAAAAUGGUUCCGAUUACCCAAAAAUAUCUUCUGGUCAAUUGUCUUCUCGUGAAAAGCAACCAGAGCGUCGCAUUGCACUAUCUUCGUGUUGUCUUUCAACUGCAGGACCAGCGCCUCUAUCGUCUUCCCCUCGGCGGAGUCUCUCAGGUACCAAUCGAUCAGCUCCCACUCCCGAAGAAGCGUCACGCCGCUGUCCAUGAUCCCAGCCAUCGCUACGGCGUGCACCUUGAACGCGAGUCGGGGUCAACAGCUUCGACAAAACCGAUCGUGUCCUCGCGCUUCGAUUUUGUACCUCGCACUCGUCGUAGAAGACGCUCUGGUGAGAAUCGCACGGGUGCAUCGGAGGCUCGAUCAAAUAGAUCCAAGAGCCGUUCAGCCCGCACUCGAGGAGGCCCUGGAUAGCGCAGUAACAAUCGAUGCUGCGCCCGUAGAGGACGAUCUUCUCUGGAAGAGUUCGUAAGGCUCGUCCUUGUUCACCGGUGACGCAGAAUCGAGACAGAGUUACGUCGAGACAGGGAGACAGGCCUUACUUUUCUCCUCGAAGUUGCUGGUCAACGAGCGAAUCUUUUCAAGACAGGUGGCAGCUUGCACGUCGUCGUUGACGGUCAGGCAGUUCCAGGGUUGCUCUUGCUCCGUCCACUCCCUGUCCGCGAGAAAGAUAUAUCCGUCUCGAUUCGAAGGCUGUCUGCGACCAUUAUCCCCUAUUACCCUCUUUUCUGCUUCUCCAGCUCGCUCGAGAACUGCGGCUUCUGGAACUGCAGGCCGCAGGUCACCACCAAGUAGUCGUACGCGAUCUGUCCCUGAUGCAGCACCGUCACGUUCUUCUCCUUCCUGCCGAUCGCGCGGACAUUACGAGGCCAGUCGCAACGAAGACGCGUCGUUCCUGCUUAGAUGAGAAGGCUGUAUUUACCUGUCGAUCGCGACAACGCUGCCGUAGACAACGUUGAUCCAGGCCCGCGCCGCGACCGUCCGACGGUGCUCGUGGCAGUAGCGGCCGCGAAACGGAAUCAUGCCGGCGACCUCGGAAGUCCGUUCGUUUUCGUAAGGCAGCCCGCGCGGCGAUAUCAACGUGAUGUCCGCGUACCGCGUCGAAUCGUACGGGGUCCUGGAAACUUUCGGAUUUCCCCGAUUUCUCGGUUCUCGCGGUUUCGCUGCGUUUUCUUUACCCGAACGCUAUAUGCUCCAGAAAAGCCACGCCGCAGUCCGAGGCCCCGAUCACCACGAUCUUCGUGUCGAAUACCAAACUGAAGCCGCUCAUCAUCCUCGGCGUUGUCAUGAACAGCGAGAACGGCUCGCUUUCGGUUCGAGGCUGGUCGGUCUCCGCGAGACCGCGGAACCUGUACUCGAGCCUUCUUCGAGGCUGCACGUGGACCAUCGAGCUCAAGCAGAUCGGCAAAGGCUGCGAGCGCGUCUAGAAUCGCGCAACAUUUCGAGUUAAUACUCUACGAAACUAAAUCUACGAAAGUAAACCGUUUCGAAAGCUUGCACGAAGAAUGUUUCGAGGAACGGUUCCGUACCAGAGCGCUCGUCGCGUUUUUCGUCAGGCGAUAGUAGAAAACGAUCAGCCCGCUUAUGCGGCUCAUUUCGCAGACGAAGUGGCGCAUGUGAACGUCGAAGAUCGGCACCAGAACGAAGUGCAGGAUGCAACCGUACGCAUCCCGAGGCACGUCCUUCACGGAGAUGUAAUCUUCCACGUGGAAACGCCUCCUGAUGUAUGUCACGUCCUUCUCGGCGCUGAUCGUGCAAUAUUCGCCAAGACUUUCGAUUAACCCCCGCAUAGCGACGCUGGAGCGGUUCUACGUCUGUUGGUUGGUUUCCUAGACCAUCGCGAGGUUUCUGGCUUGUUCGCGAUCGCUUACCCUUCUUUUCAGGGGUCACAGCGGGGUCAGUGACCACGGGUCUAGCGAUCGGAACCGUCCGAUCGCCGCUGUACGCGAUCAACCAGCAGGCGCGACGACGUUCGUCCGAGCAAAGGAUCCUUCAAGAUUACAUACCGGAAGAUUGUCAGACCGACGAGUUCACCGUUCCACGCGAAUACGUAGCAGAAAAGGCCCGAUUUCGGCUUAACCGCGUCGUCGAAGUCGUCCAAAAUCUUCUGCGCUUUCGGAAUGUUCCGCAACAACUUCCAAAGACCGUCCCGAUCCUGAGGAGCAGCCUGGCGCAUCUCGAUGUUUCCCAGGAGAGAGGCGCGAUGCAUCACGUACAGUGCCAUCGGAAAAUCUCGGUUACACCUGGCCGGUACUCGCUGAAUUUGAUGCGCUCGUUUUACGAAACGAUCGUCAGUGGUCGCAAAGGUGGCCGGGUGCUCGAGAUUUCGGGUUAAAAUCGCGUCGGAUAUUUUCUUCGGGUUCGGGUCGGGACCCGAAACUUUUCGGUACCCGGAAAAUUCGGGUACCCGAAUUUGAAAUCGAGCCCCGAGAAUUUUCGGUACUCGAAAUCCUAAAAGCGGAUUGGGGAGUGUUUAUAAAUCCGGAAAUACGUGGUGUCCCAUAAUUAUGUUAACACAUUAAAGGCGGGGGAUCUUGACGAAAGUAUGCUAGGUAACGC